AGAUUGAACAAAUAUGAAAAUGCAAACCAUGUAUUCUUCUUCCUUUGUUUCCUGCAUUUCUGCAACUGCUGCCUCUCAUCACAUUCAGAACAUUCUCUGUGGUUCAUGACCUUGAAGACCAAAACUGGAUUUGUAGAAAAAUGGAACGCAAAUAAUGCUGCUGUUAACAUUUGUUUACAAGCUUCUGUACAAACAUCUGCUUUCAUUUCUCCUGAGAGAUACCUAAGAGCGGAAGUGCUGGGUCAUAAGCUGUGUCGCUGCCCUGCUCUGCCUCCAGCUCUCUCCCGAGUCCAGGAACACAGACAGAACCCACCGUGGGCCACAGCCUCAGCGCUAAUGUGAUCUGCAGCCUCUCCUGCCAGGAAGCAGUGUCCACCCACGCCUGUCUUCCAAGGAAAGUAGAAACUGCUUUCUAACUCCUAGGCCAAGGAGUUAACAGUCAGUUAACUCUGCCCUACUUGGUAACUUCUCAGGAAAGCUUGGUGAAGAACACGGAAUGUAUCCCGAUUCCUUCAGGAAAUCAUGCCUUGUUCACUUCUGAUCAACUUGCCAGGCAAAAAGGCAAGGAACGGCUGCAGGUUAAAACGACGUCCACUCCAGAGGAGGUGCCCAGAAGUGCUGAAG